AAUCCGUGUUGCGGGCACUUCCUGAGGAGCUCCUUGAACCUUUCCCAUGUCUCGACUAGAGACUCCAAUUCCAACUAAACAAAGGAUGAAAUCUCGUUCCUAAGUUU